CUUUGUAAUACGUUUUACAAAUGUUUAUUUUUACAAUUACACAUUUUCCUAAUAUAUAUUAUUAUUCUAACCGUUGUUUUGUUGGUAUCAUAAUAAUAGGUAAAUCAUCAUAAACAUUUUGUCAUCUGUUCUAUUUUUUUUUUUUUUUACUUGAGGAAUGAUCACAUCGUUUUUUGUACAACACUCAACUUUAUCAUUAUACACUUUUUUGAAAUUGAAAAUGCUAUUUAUAAUGUAAGUUAGAUCAAAUUUCCGAUUUCACAGGUAGUGCCUGUGCAUGACAUGCACGACCCGGAGACACGCCUACGUGUAUGACACUAAAAUUCAAAUUGUUAACAUGGCUAUGAUCAGAAAUCAGUUCAUGAUAUUAGAAUAUAAUAUAUUAUAGGUAAAAACAGUUAUAUUAAACUUCUAAUAAUAGAAUAAAAUGCUUUAUAGCUGGUAAAAUAUUUUCACAUUAAUUCAUAAAGAUUCU